AGAUUGAACGCUGGCGGCAUGCCUUACACAUGCAAGUCGAACGGCAGCGCGGGAGCAAUCCUGGCGGCGAGUGGCGAACGGGUGAGUAAUAUAUCGGAACGUGCCUAGUAGUGGGGGAUAGCCCGGCGAAAGCCGGAUUAAUACCGCAUACGACCUGAGGGUGAAAGCGGGGGAUCGCAAGACCUCGCGCUACUGGAGCGGCCGAUAUCAGAUUAGCUAGUUGGUGGGGUAAAGGCCUACCAAGGCAACGAUCUGUAGUUGGUCUGAGAGGACGACCAGCCACACGUGGGACUGAGACACGGCCCAGACUCCGUACGGGAGGCAGCAGUGGGGUAAUUUUGGACAAGUGGGCGCAAGCCUGAUCCAGCAAUGCCGCGUGCAGGAAGAAGGCCGUUGGGUUAGUAAACGUUGUCGUUUU
rnacentral:rRNA from 1 species